UUUCCCUCUCUCCUCCCAAGUCCGACCCACAAACCUUAAACACCCCACCAGAUGGUGAAAGAGAGAGAAAAUGAAAGAGAAAGAGGGUUAGGGUUGAACAUUGAUGAAGAUGAAGAUGAAGAUGAAGAUGAAGAUGAAGAUGACGAUGAUAAUGACAAUGAUGACAAUGAAGGAGGUGCUCGUGUUGGUCUUUUGCACCAGAAUUUGACCUCUGCUAGUACUGCACUUCAUGGUUUGCUUCGAAAGCUCGGUACUGGACUCGAUGAUUUGAUCCCUUCGUUUAUUUUACCGCUAGCGAAACCAGCAGUUUUCUGCAGUCACGCAUAAGAAAAGUGCCGGCGUUAAUAGAUGUCUUCGCAAAUAUUAAUUAGGCGACGACAACAGAGGAAAGAUGACUUCCAGCUCAUCAAGCACCAAGCACCACUCUGUAAUAUGCUUUUCAAUGGGCCCCCAGGACAGGAAAAACAAUGGUGGCACGAGAGCUAGCUCAGAAACAUGCUACCACCACCACCAGAGCUGCCGCUGCCACCACCACCAGCGUUGCCGCUGCCACCACCACCAUCACAAGAACGUCGGCGCCGCCACCAUGACCAAUGCUUGAGAUUUCAAUUUUCACCCUCCCACCUUCACGCCAUCACCAGGGUAUAUACGCCAUCACCUUCACUAGUCUGCCAUCACCAUCCCACCUUCACAGCAUCAUCACCAUCCCACCUUCACAGCAUCAUCACCUUCAUGCCAUCGCUCGAUUUUUUAAAAAAAAAAAGAAAGAAAGAGGGAGGUGUCUGCGAUGGACGCCCCACCACCGAGGUAGGCGUCCAUGGCAGGUGUUCUACCACAGGA